rnacentral:misc_RNA from 1 species
AACUUUCGACAACGGAUCUCUUGGUUCUCGCAUCGAUGAAGAACGCAGCGAAAUGCGAUAAGUAGUGUGAAUUGCAGAAUUCAGUGAAUCAUCGAAUUUUUGAACGCAUAUUGCGCCUUCCGGCAUUCCGGAAGGCAUGCCUGUUCGAGCGUCAUAUAAAUCUUUCAAGCAUGAAUUUAUUCUGGCUUGGUAUUGGUCAAGGAUUGAGAUUGCCUUGUUCCUGUCCGAAAUGCAAUGGCGAAGUUGCAUGUUCCGUUCAGUGUAGUAAUCAACGUUAUGUUUCACUGCUUGGCAUAUGAAGCUUCCGUCGCAAAUUAACUCCCCAAUUUUAAAGAGUUUGACCUCGAAUCAGGUAGGGAUACCCGCUGAACUUAAGCAUAUCAAUAGCGGAGGCU